rnacentral:lncRNA from 1 species
AUGCCCACGGCAGCUCGCUGCCUGUCUGCUACGGGCAGAGCUCAGCCCCUCCAGUACCAAAGGCACCGCAGCCUUCAUCCCUCCUGCAUCCUGUCCCAACGUCCCUUUGGUUUGCCCCAUUCCCCUUUUUGUUACAGGAAUACCAUGCCAAAAGGGGCGUACAGGAGGAUACGACACCCACAUACUCAAGGACAACGCAAGGCUGCCCAAAAUGAAGGCUUUGUAGGGCUGAGAGCUACAGGUCACCACCAGCAGUGUGUAACUCAGCAGCUGCUCAAAGACUCAUCUCCACCCUGGCUUUUUACUCUUGUAGGAGGCCACAAAGGGUUAAAAGACGCAGCUAGCACCCAGGCUGUGGAUUUAGCAACCCUUCUGACAUGGCACAGGAAUCUUAUCUUUAUUAACAAGCACAUAGCAGGCAAAGAUUCAGCCUUCCUGCAGGCUUCCCUCAUAAAAAAAGACCUUUGCCUCAACUGUUUCUCAUUUUACCCUCAUCCCCUUUGCUUAAAGGUCUCUGACACUCAUCCUGAGUGCCCCCAUGACAUACUCAUCACUCAACUUCUCCCAGCUUUUCUCCAAAGGAGAAUUCCUGGGCACCAGGAAGAUGCUGGGAAUGGCCUGGUGGGAGGGGUGCAGAAACAGCCUGGGCCCUGUGAGCAGGCCUGGUUAUGGGGCUCAGCAGUGCCCCCCCCUCGACAUGCUAGGACGAUCUUGUUCCAGGAAACGCACGGAGCAUCCUCUGGGAGAAGCAUUUCACAGGCCUGGUCCCCAGCCCAUGCACGGAGCCAUGCAGGGGAUGCAAAGCGCGCAGCCACGGGAACACGGGACCCCUGUCCCCUGCCACCACCCCUGCACGGUCAGCACAGAGCUGGCCCCGCUCCUCCCAGCCUGGCCCAGAUGAGCAAAACAGAUGAGUUCGCCCCGAUUUGUGCCUCCCACCCCACCCUCGCCCCAGGCUCCGGUCCUCGAGCCCCCACCGCCGCCCCCCCACGUCCCGGCACUGCGGGCAGGAAGCGCGCAGCCCCACGUGCGAUGCCCGCGCUGAGGUCACGGCCCGGAGCGGGGACAGACGCGGAGACAGACAGACAGACAGACGGGCGGACAUUGGCGCCGUGCUCAGCCCGGCACUGCCCUUCUCCCCACUGA